AGCCGGGCUAUGGAAUCUCUGCAGGAAUAAACGCAUUCUUUUCUAAAGCCCUCCCACCCCAGGGAGCCCACACCCCAUGCUCUAGAUCUCCCGGGGAGCCUGCUGCUGCUUAUCUAAACAACUCACAAAACAUCAGAAUGAAAAUCCAGCCAGCAAAUGCAGUUUCUCCUGGAAUAGAAGCGUCGUCCCCUGAAGGUGGCCGGUGAGCUGGGCUUUGCCUGAUCUUUCCAGCAGGCUCUGGAAGCCGUGCCUCUGAAGGGAACAGCUCAGGUCUUGCUAUGGUAUUCACCCCUGUAGUCUGAUUACCUCGCUCGUCUCCUCCAUGGUAACCUGUGAUACUACCCCAACAGAGACACUGGGAUGUGCAUAUCCCUUGAGAUUCCUGGUAAACGUCCAGCCCAAACUUUAUUCCUCUGUUUGAGACUAUGCCAGGCAGACCAUAAAUGUCACAGCUCCUGGGGAUUCCAUUGGGUCUCCUUGGAACAAAUCUUUGUCCUCGUUCCCAGCUGAAAGGUGACCUCCGGCGUGAAACUGGAUGAGUAUCUGCUUGUUUAUCUGCAAAAGGGGAGUCAUGAGGUCCCUACACCAUCACACGCUGUGAGGAUGAAAUGGAGUUGGCACAAGGCACCUAACUGCAGGCUUACCUAUGCUGUUCUUACCAUCAUCGUAUCCAGUAGUAAGAUGACUCCCAAGUCACCCUCCCACUCAGGAGAGCUUGCCACCUGCCAAUCGCAGGCAUCGCCGCGUUUUUCAGCUUUUUUGCAAUCAAUCUCAGGGACAGCUCCAGUGGACUUUGGCAUACACGUGGAUCUUCUUCUAUUUCCCAACUUUAACUUACUGUCUCAUUUCAAGAACUCUCUCCCUUCAGUUCCCCCUCCAUAAAUGAAGGAAAGGUAAGCAAACAAUUUGGACAGACUCCCCCUCCACUUAAGACAGUCAUUCUUUCCUUGGUAUUUGAAGAAAAUUAUAAUUAUUUUAAUGUGAUACACUUGAUAGCAGACAAUAAAUGAGCCAUUAGAGGAA
rnacentral:lncRNA from 1 species